AACGUAGGAGGCAAGCGUUAUCCGGAUUUACUGGGUGUAAAGGGCGCGCAGGCGGUUCCGCAAGUCGGGUGUGAAAGCGCUUGGCUCAACCGGGCGAGGCGGCUCGAAACUGCGGGACUGGAGACAGGCAGAGGCGGGUGGAAUUCCGGGUGUAGUGGUGAAAUGCGUAGAGAUCCGGAGGAACACCAGUGGCGAAGGCGGCCCGCUGGGCCUGGACUGACGCUCAGGCGCGACAGCAUGGGGAGCGAACGGG
rnacentral:rRNA from 1 species